UACUAAUGCAACUGCGAAUAGCUGUUUAAUACAGUCGCAAUUGUAUUGACGUUAUUUCAAAUAAUAUAUUAUAUAUAUUUGGAUAACUAAGGGAAAGUUUGGCUAAUACAUAUGUCUUAUUGCAUAUAAUGGUUAAUAUAUGAUUAACAUUAUAUAAAUAUUAUGUACUUUUGUACAAUUUAUAGAGCAGACUUUAUAUAAUUAUUAUAAAGCAUGUCAAACAAGCAUCUAUAGCAUCAAGUCACAAUGUUGGCAUGUGUAUUAUUGAACCUUCAAAGCAUUUACGCAUUCGGAGGAGUAGUUUCUGAUCCCGUCGAAGGUGCCUGAGAGACGGCACUUAGUUCUAAGGAACGCAGCAGGCGCGUAAAUUGCCCAAUGACAAAACAUGAUAUAUAUUACCUUGUAUACUUACUCAAUAUGUAUAUUGAGGCAGUGACAAGCUGUAAAGAUUCAAUAUAUUAAUUAAGAUAACAUUUGGAAUUGUCGCUUUGUAUAAUUUAUUAUACAUUGCUUGAUAAUAUACCAAUGUUAUAAAAUAUUGAAUUUGAAUGCGGUGAUUCUAAUAAUUUCAAGUAACAUGUAUAUUAUAUGUUAUCUGAAUAUUCAAGUGGAGGGCAAGUCUGGUGCCAGCAGCCGCGGUAAUACCAGCUCCACUAGCCUAUACAAUCAUUGUUGCGGUUAAGAGGCUCGUAGUUGGAUUGAAUAAUGAAUAUACAUACAUAAUACUGUGAACAAACCAGAGUGUAUAAAACAUGUAAUAAAUAAUUAUUAUUAGCAAUGAAUGUUUUAUCAUGGGAUAUUGCAAUAAUAUUUCGAUGGAGAUAGUUGGAGUUGAGAGUACUGAUAGGCGAGCGGUGAAAUGCAUUGACCCUAUUAAGACUAACAAAAGCGAAAGCACUUAACUAGAUUAUACUCUUUGUAUAUUCCAUAGCAAUGAAGAGCGAAGGUUGGGGGAACAAAGAGGAUCAGAUACCCUCGUAGUCCUAUUUUUACAUCAAACUAUGGGAUUUCAAUUGAAUAAACAUGAAUGUUUAUAAUCCUUCAAUAUAUAUUAUACAUUUAUAGUUGAGUUAUAAGUUAUAACUCCUAUAAUAUAUAUUAUUAAUAUUGAAUUUUUAAAUAUUUUCAUAAUAUAUAUGAUUAUAUGUACUUUGCGCUCAUAUAUUUAUUCCGGUGAGAUGUAAGCAUUAUAGGAGAGUAAUAUUACACAUCUGUAAUUAUUAUAAUCCUAAUUUAAAAACGUAAUGUGAUGCACGUUUUAGGUACGAGCUUACUAUAGAAAUAUUUAAAAUAGUACCCUCCUGGGGUAGUAUGCACGCAAGUGUGAAACUNNNNNNNNNNNNNNNAAGGGCACCACAAGAACGCGUGGAGCAUGUGGCUUAAUUUGACUCAACGCGGGAAAUCUUACCAGGUCCGGACAUAUUGAGGAUUGACAGGCGAUAGGAUUAUUAUAUUUAUAAUAAUUCAUAAAAAUGAUAGUCCUUUCAUGAUUAUAUGAUAGGUGGUGCAUGGCCGUUCUUAGUUCGUGGAGUGAUCUGUCUGCUUAAUUGCGUUUCAGAUAUAUAAUUAUAUAAUAGUAUUAUAUAUUGUUACUAACAUAAUAUUGUGCAUCCUAUAUAUAUUAUAUAGGAUUUUAAGUGAACAUAUUAUAUUAUGUAUUACAUAUAUAUAUAUAUUAUAUAUUAAAAUGAAUGCAACGAACGUGACCGUAACCUUUUAUUGCUAUAACGUAUAGUAUAGCAUAAAAUUAAAGGAACCGCUGUCUAAAUUUUAGUGUUAAAAUAGAGUAAGAUUACGGCAAUAACAGGUCUGUGAUGCCCUCAGAUGUUCUGGGCUGCACACGUGCUACAAUAAUUACAUUAAUAAGUAUUUAUAUAUAUAUUAAUUCUAAUAUAUUAAACCUAUUUCGAAAGUAAAUGGGUAAUCAUUUAAAAAUCGUGAUUACUUAUUAUACUACAUUUUCUUGGUAGUAUUAAUUAAUUUAAGGUGGGGAUAGUGUAUUGUUAAUUAUUACACUUGGCCUUAACUAGGAAUGCCUUGUACUCUUCUUUGGUUUAACAUACCAAGAGGAAUACGUCCCUGCCCUUUGUACACACCGCCCGUCGCUCUUACCGAUGAAUUAUAUUAUAAAUAUAAGGGACAUAAACAUUAUAUAAUAUUGAAACUUACAUACAUAAUGUGAUUUAAAGGAAAGAGAAGUCGUAACAAGGCAUCAGUAGGUGAACCU
rnacentral:rRNA from 1 species